AACGAACGCUGGCGGCAGGCCUAACACAUGCAAGUCGAGCGGACCUUCCGGGGUCAGCGGCGGAUGGGGGUGUAACGCGUCGGAAGAUGCCCUUCUCUACGGAAUACUCCUGGGACACUGGGGGUAACACCGUAUACGCUCUUUUGGGGAAAGAUUUAUCGGGGAAGGAUUAGCCCGAGUUGGAUUAGGUUGUUGGUGGGGUAAUAGCCUACCAAGCCGUCGAUCCAUAGCUGGGUAGAGAGAAUGGUCAGCCACACUGGGACUAGGACGCGGCCCGGACUCCUACGCGAGGGGGGAGAGGGGGAUCUAGGACAAUCGCGUGAAUGCUGAACGAGCCAGGCCGGGAAAGCGAUGUUGUCCGUAGAGAAGUAAAGCUCGUUAAGCUGGGAAGGUAAUGACGGUACCAGCAGAAGAAGCCCCGGCUAACUCCGUG
rnacentral:rRNA from 1 species